AGAGUUUGAUCCGGCUCAGGACGAACGCUGGCGGCGUGCCUAACACAUGCAAGUUGAGCGGAGAUAUAUGGAGCUUGCUUUAUAUAACUUAGCAGCGAACGGGUGAGUAACACGUAGAUAAUCUAUCCUAUACUGGGGGAUAGCCCGAUGAAAGUUGGAUUAAUACCGCAUAUAGCUAUAUAGUUGCAUGAUUAUGUAGUGAAAGAUUUAUUGGUAUAGGAGGAGUCUGCGGCACAUUAGCUAGUAGGUGAGGUAAAGGCUUACCUAGGCGACGAUGUGUAGCCGGUCUGAGAGGAUGAACGGCCACAAUGGAACUGAGACACGGUCCAUACUCCUACGGGAGGCAGCAGUGGGGAAUAUUGCACAAUGGGGGAAACCCUGAUGCAGCAACGCCGCGUGAGUGAAGAAGGUUUUCGGAUUGUAAAGCUCUGUUAGCAGGGAAGAGGAAGGACGGUACCUGCAGAGGAAGCCACGGCUAACUACGUGCCAGCAGCCGCGGU
rnacentral:rRNA from 1 species